UGGAAGGUCAAGAAAGUUGUAGUCACAUUUAAGAGACAACUGUGGUCUGUUUUUGAAUCCCCUCCAGCAUUGUCCACAUGCCAGAUGACAUGACAAGUUGUUGAAAAAGACAGCCAAAGGACUUAUCCUUUCCAUCCCAAUGCAAGGAAUUCAAUCUGAAAAACUUGAAAUCCUUAAAAAUUCUUUAAAAAUCCCCAAAACUUCUGGAAGAAAAAUGAAGCUAAUUGAAAUGCUUAAUGAUGGCACCUUUUCAUUUAUGCUACACUGUAUUCUAACUCUAUGCUAAUUAAAAUUGAAACCAUAGUGAUUUAGAAAUUCAAAUGUUUUGCCCUGAAAAAAAUAAAAAUGGUAUGCUUUGAAGCUGCCAGAACAUUUUUAUGCUGUUCUUAAAACAUUUUCACAGAACUGACAUGAUUUCAAAAGGUAUUCUUCUCAAAGGAGCUACCUUUUCAGAGAAAAGGUUUCCACUGAUGUAUUUUAUUUGACCAUCUUUAAAGCUCCUGCACUACACUUAUUUAGAAAAAGCAGGUAGAGUAGUGAUUGUGACACUUUCCAGUGGCUAGUGCAAAUUGAUUUUUAAAACACUGUAUCUCAUUCUCAGCAAUGGGCUCCAGUUUUGGUCCUGAUGCCACUAUUUUGCUUUAGUCAACUGAAAACUCCCGUCUCAGUUACAUCCAAGCAAAAACAAAGGAAAUGUUAAUAAAGGAUCACAAGCUGCAACAGUGUAAUAAAACGAGACAGUUCAAGAGACCUGUGCAGGAACUUUCCAUGUAGUGGACCACACUAAGUUGGUCCCUGAAGAGAACAAGUGAUGUUUCCCCUGUUUGCAACAUUUAUCCCUAUUCUGAGAAGAGAACUGCUACAGGGAUAGUAAAGAGCCAGUGUGCUCUAACAUUCAAAUAACUGCGUCAGAGAACCUAAAAUGUGUCAUCCUGUGUUAUUCUGAUGUCAUAUAUUGCAUGCCUUUUCUCAGAGGUAUCACCAUGUUCUUGAAACACGUGAGGAAAGCAAGCACGCAGCCGUGACCCUUUAAGCUGAGAGGAAAUUAGUACCAGUGCUCUUGUAAAUGAUUACAACAUUUUGGGGAUAGGGUGGAAAUUGACAUUCAGAAGGAAUUGGAUCUAUAGCUAUGGAAUUGCCUAUCCAUUUCUGGAACAUUAGAAAUAUGUGAUUUGUUUCCUCUGUAUUAGUUGGGAUACAGAAACAUUUUCUGCAUUACCCAUAACCUUGGGUAGAGAAGCAAAACUGUAAUGAUCGGAUUCCUAAGCUGUAAAAAUGGUUUUCUCACCGUUUAUGACAACAGUAAAUCAUUUGGACUGAAAACCAGACUUGUGCUGUGUCCACUCGGGUGUAACCUUCUGCUGCUUAGGGACAGCUCUGCUUGAGGAUGACAGAUUGAUUGGUCUGAAAGAUGAUAUGCUGCAAACAGGGCAUUCAGAUGGCAUCACCCUUUUCAUUGACUUUCCUAAAGACUUAACAUUCCUUGUAAGUCUAGAAGUUCUUUUAGAGAACCAUAAACCAUGGUUCUUCCAAUCUUCCACAGACAGGGAUGCCUGAAAAAUUAAUCCUCUGAUGGACUUUGUGGGACUAAUCUGAGUGUUUUUCAGACAUCACUUUCAGCUUUGACUCGGACUUGGCAUUUUUUAAGGGUGUUUCCUAAAUACUGGCUACUUCCAUGAAGUCAUUUCACCCAACAUGAGAAGAUGUCCACCUUUGUAAUGAGAUGCAUGACCACCCUCUAGUGAUGCACAGCAACCCAGUGACAAAGUGAGGCACCAUGGCUUAUCUGACAGGGUGAAGAGGAGGAUGUGGACAGAGAACUGCUGGAGUGUACUCACAACACAGAGUGGCAGCACAGUUGAUGAC